UAAUACGUAGGGGGCAAGCGUUGUCCGGAUUUAUUGGGCGUAAAGAGCGUGUAGGCGGCCAGACAGGUCCGUUGUGAAAACUAGAGGCUUAACCUCUAGACGUCGAUGGAAACCGUCUGGCUAGAGUCCGGAAGAGGAGAAUGGAAUUCCUGGUGUAGCGGUGAAAUGCGCAGAUAUCAGGAAGAACACCCGUGGCUAAGGCGGUUCUCUAGUACGGUACUGACGCUGAGACGCGAAAGCGUGGGGAGCGAACAGGAUUAGAUACCCUGGUAGUCCACGCCGUAAACGAUGGGUGCUAGGUGUGGGGGGUGUCGACUCCCCCCGUGCCGAAGCUAACGCAUUAAGCACCCCGCCUGGGGAGUACGGCCGCAAGGCUA
rnacentral:rRNA from 1 species